rnacentral:misc_RNA from 1 species
AGCAGCCGCGGUAAUUCCAGCUCCAAUAGCGUAUAUUAAAGUUGUUGCAGUUAAAAAAGCUCGUAGUUGAAUUUCGGAAUCAGUAUGUUGGUCGUGCUUCGGUACGUACUGUCAUUACUGGUUUCUACCUUCUGAAGAACCUUGAUGUCAUUAAUUUGGUGUCUUGGGGAAUCAGGACUGUUACUUUGAAAAAAUUAGAGUGUUUAAAGCAAGCAUACGCUUGAAUACAUUAGCAUGGAAUAAUGAAAUAGGACGUUUGAUCCUAUUUUGUUGGUUUCUAGGAUCGACGUAAUGAUUAAUAGGGAUAGUUGGGGGCAUUAGUAUUCAAUUGUCAGAGGUGAAAUUCUUGGAUUUAUUGAAGACUAACUACUGCGAAAGCAUUUGCCAAGGAUGUUUUCAUUAAUCAAGAACGAAAGUUAGGGGAUCGAAGACGAUCAGAUACCGUCGUAGUCUUAACCAUAAACUAUGCCGACUAGGGAUCGGAUGAUGUUAUUUUUUAAUGACUCAUUCGGCGCCUUAC